AGCGUCGUCAUAACUCAUAAGGUCAGACAGAGACAUAGACAGACAGAGAGAGAGCGUGACAGAAGGGGGUGGAGACGGUGGUUCCGUCUGCUCCGCCACUGCGCCGACGUGUAAACCAGCCGUCUCUCAAAAGCGAGGGACUCUCCGGUGAUGCCGGUAACGGUUCGGCGAACCUAGGGUUCUGCCAUGACCUCAUAUGGCGGCGGUAUUGAUGGUCUUCUGAGUAACCGGCACCGAUGGUUAACGGAUUCAAUGGAGAUGAAGACGACUUCCAUACGAGUUAGUUCCGACAUAUUUUCCGGCGUUUAAGCGGCGGAGAGAAGUUGCUAGGGUUCCGGUGAAGGUCCGGCAAAGUUCCGGUACUCUGAUUCAGAUGUGCGUCUUAUAACUACAGUUAGGUCGGGGUCAUAUGGCUCUUAAACCGAUGAUAUUUGUUGAUUCAGUAACCGUUGGUGCUCUGCUGACCGAUUUAGAGUCUCUGGCGAGUUCCACACCAGUGUAGAUCGAUAACCACAAAGGGCUGCACCAUGGUCAGUGGCUGGUGACGGGUAAAGGUGGUUCCGGUGAUGAAGUUGUGGUUGUUCACGUUUAUGUGGGUGGUCUGCAAUAGUGACCACCUGCGACAGAGAUGCCUCCGGAACAAGUAACAAAAUCAAGUGCACCUUAUACAAUUGGGUAUCUUGUAUGUACGUUGCUGCUCACUGACUUUUGGGUAUCUGGUAUGUAUGUUGUUGCUCAUCUUAAUUAAUUGUAUAAGGUUAAUAAUUAACUUUUUUUUAAUCAGCGGAUAUAUAUAUUGUUAAUUUGAUUGUCAAUUGUGUAUUAUGUUUAAUUACCACCAUCGUCUUUGAGGUUUAUGGAUUCCGAGAUGAUGCGGCAUAUAGUCAUAUACCAUUAGGUCAAAGUAAUUAUUCGAGUACAUUUGUCAAAUUUGUUGGAUUGUGGAUUUGAAAGGAUGAAUUUUGGGAUUAAAGAGGGAUAGAUAUGAUGCAUGACUUUUUCUGCAGCUAUCCUUAUACGCUGGACAUAUUUUGUGGUUAAGAAUGUUGGAUUGUGGAUUUGAAAGGAUGAAUUUUGGGAUUAAAGAAGGAUAGAUAUGAUGCAUGACUUUUUCUGCAGCUAUCCUUAUACGCUGAACAUAUUUUGUGGUUAAGAAUCAGUUUUCAUUUGGUUAGUAUUAAAUUAAACCAUUAUUAGACAGGAUGAGUUUGGUGGCUAACAAAAAUUAUUGUCUACUUGGGACUUAUUAUGUGAUAUUCAUCUUUCACAGGUGUUUAUUAUCCAAAAAAAAUCUUUUCUUAACAAAAUAUACACAAUUACAAACAUGAUUUGUUUCUUUUAUACACUUCCAUCGCUACCUUUUGCAACAGGAAAUAUACUAUGACAUCUAAAAGGAUUUUUGAGAUACAGCGAACAGAAAGUAAGUGUGGAGCUACUUGAAGUCUGAGUCAUAAGAAAGUGGACCCGUACAAUGGAGAACUAUGUUUAAUCUUGGUAGACAAGCAUGGUGAUGCAAGAAGCAAGCAGCAGAUUGUAGAAACACCACAUUAUCUAAAUAGUGAUUAUGAUGUUAAAAUUGAUGAAGGCAAUGCCAUUGAUGUAUCUUUAACGAAUGAAAACGAAGAUGAAUAUAAAGGACUUGAUUUAAGAAUUAUGCACAUGAAAAACAGGUUUGUUGACACAUGGUUGUAUAUAUGUAACAUUUAAGGAUGUUUUUCUAAUGUAUAAUGUUUCGAAUCCGUGGAAUAUGCAGGAAUAAGGAUCUGCUGAUUGUUUUAAACAAUGCAAUUGGCUCCCGAUAUGUUUCAGAGUUUUAACAAUUUAGAUGAAAUCAAGCUUUUAAAGCCGGAUAACAAGUAUGAUCUGGCAGCUUUGCAUCCUACCUAAAGAGCACACGUGUUGUGCACUGAAAAAAAAAAAAGAAAAAAAUGGAAACGUUGUAGACUCGAACCAGCACCAAAGCCAUAAACAAAUAGCCAACAAACCACUAAACUAAAGCCCAAAACACAUCAAAUAAACAAAAGCAAACCCAUAUAAACAACACCAACAUCAGAAAAAGAAAAAAAAGUAGCCAACACUAACUAAAUUGCCACCAAUGGAAAUGAGCAAUGAAAUUAACAUGAACGUAACGGUGUUUAGGGUUUCAACAGCUCUCUGGCUUAAAACGUUAGCAAGUUGUUAGAUCCUGAAGGGAUCGGUACCUCU